GAUGAAUGCUGGCGGCGUGCCUAACACAUGCAAGUCGAACGGUAACGGGUUCUCACUGUUCGCUUCUCUCUUGUUGAUAAUAUCGAUAAGAGAAAGAGAAGUGAAGAGUGAGAAUGCCGACGAGUGGCGGACGGCUGAGUAACGCGUGGGAAUCUGCCCCAAAGUGAGGAAUAACUGCCCGAAAGGGUGGCUAAUACCGCAUAUGGUCUUCGGAUUAAAGGAUUUAUCCGCUUUGGGAGGAGCCUGCGUUAGAUUAGGUAGUUGGUAGGGUAAUGGCCUACCAAGCCUACGAUCUAUAGCUGGUCUGAGAGGAUGAUCAGCCAGACUGGGACUGAGACACGGCCCAGACUCCUACGGGAGGCAGCAGUGAGGAAUCUUCCACAAUGGGCGAAAGCCUGAUGGAGCAACGCCGCGUGAAGGAUGAAGGUCUUCGGAUUGUAAACUUCUUUUAUGAGUGAAGAAUAUGACGGUAACUCAUGAAUAAGCACCGGCUAACUACGUG
rnacentral:rRNA from 1 species